rnacentral:rRNA from 1 species
AUGAGUAGUUUUUUCUCUCUCUUUCUUUUCAAGGCACUCUUGCUAAGCUUUAUUUAUAUCACCACAAUGUUUACAGGUAAGAAAGAAAUUUCUCGCACUGGUCUAACCAAACAUGGUGACCAAACCCAAGCGUUAAUGCAUGCUUUUUUUUACAGGAAGACAAACUUUAUUAAUCAUAUGACCGUUACAUCAUUCGCUAAUAGUUUAACAAUGAACUCCGGCGGGGCAUCAACCCAAAAAGAUAAAUGGGCUGGAUUUGAAGAAACCCUCCGGAAGACAUAUUUUGUGUCCGGUGUCAACAACUGA